UCCAACAAGUAUUACUUACAAAAAUCAAAUUUUUGACAUAUAACUAUUCAAUUGGUUACUCUGAUGAAUUAAGGUUAGAAUGUAGAGUUUCCAAUUUGGAUUUACAUUCUUGACUUGUUUUGCUGUAUGAGAAGAAAAUAGUUCAAAUUACAAACAAAUUUGCAUGAUAAAAUCAUCAAACAUGCUCCAAUUACAAUGUUUCUUUCCUCUUAUAGCUAGGAAUAACAGCAAAGAUAUAUGAAGGUCCAAGUUGAAACUUCAAAGUGAACCAAAUUCGGCAUCCCUUACCCUAACCUAUCGGAUCUUAUACCGCUAGACAAAUGUUACAAGUGAAAUUAUAUAAUAAAAAAAAAAUACAAUUCCUAUAAUCAUACUACCUUUUUCAUUUGAACAAUUGAUCAGCUUUGAUACAUGAUAGCAGAAUAAACCCACAUGGGAAAAUUUUAUGGGAAGAAAAUCAAGGGAAAUCUAACACAUCAAAAGAGUAGGAAAAAAAUUGUAAAUGUAAACAUUCUUAUGAGAGAGUUGGAAUGUGUCUAAGGAGAAUAUAGAUUCAGUUAAUAUGUAUGUGAAUACCUAUUGCAACAACCAAAAUAGUAAGUAUACAAAAGUAUAUAAUAGCAUGAAUCAAAAUUGAAAUUCCACUAGUAUUCAUGUUACCAAACUCCACCACUCUAAUCCUUGCAGGAAAUUGGAACAACAAGCCUGGAGAUAAAACAAUGAACAAAGCCACUGCAACAAUUACUGGUCCCCAAUCAGCUCCCAUUUCUUUCACUUUCUUUGUUUACUCCACUAUUUUCUAUGCUUCUUAUGCCUUUGUCUUAACUCUUAAGUGUUACUAUAAGAAAAAUAAUGGACCAUGUUUGAGUUUGUUAUUAAGUAUACAAGAGUUUCUUGGUCGUUAAGGAGAAGAGGAUACUAAACUUGGUGACAAAAAAG
rnacentral:lncRNA from 1 species